AUAAUUUCAAGUACUGAACACUUUAGCAAGGGAGUUCAUAAGUUUAUUAACCUUUCAAAUAAAUAGUGCAAGUAUAGCCACCUCUUACAGUUCAUUUGUCUUCAGUCUGUUAACUUGCCCUUAAAUCCAUCUGGUACAUCUCCCUGAUGAAGGCAGCACACUUGCACUCUACUUCAGACAGCGUAAUAAAACUUAAAACACAGAUUAAAAUAUUGUCCUAUCAUAGUUUGUUUUAAUUACAUCCUGUGUAUAUUACAUUUUCAGAAUGUUGCUCAGCAGCAGGAAAUACAUCAUCAGUUUUGCUCUUUCCCUUUGUGAUGCAAGAAGCAGUGUCACCUUCUGCCUAUUUUUGUUGCUCAUGACUAAAGAGAUGGGAAUUACCGCUGCACUUCUGUUCCUUGUUCCCAGUCUGAGGGGUGUCUGGCAGAAGUGCUGAAUGAUCAUCAGGAAGACUCCCAGAUUUGAAAUGAGGACUGAACUGAAUCAGAUGAUUGCGAAGUACACCAACAGCCU
rnacentral:lncRNA from 1 species